rnacentral:rRNA from 1 species
AUUGAACGCUGGCGGCAUGCUUUACACAUGCAAGUCGGACGAGUGGCGAACGGGUGAGUAAUAUAUUGGAACGUCCCGAGUAAUUGGGGAUAACCAAUCGAAACUUUGGCUACUACCGCCUAUUAUUCGUGCGGUCAAUAUCUGAUUAUCUAGUUGUUGGGGUAAAGGCCUACAAAGGAGACGAUCAGUAGCGGGUCUGAGAGGAUGAUCCGCCACACGGGAACUGGGACACGGCCCAUACUCCUACGGGAGGCAGCAGUGGGGAAUUUUGGACAAUGGGCGCAAGCCUGAUCCAGCCAUGCCGCGUGUCUGAAGAAGGCCUUCGGGUUGUAAAGGACUUUUGGUAGGGAAGCGGUACCGACAGAAUAAGCACCGGCUAACUACGGGCCAGCAGCCGCGGUAAUUC